rnacentral:rRNA from 1 species
AUUGAACGCUGGCGGCAGGCCUAACACAUGCAAGUCGAGCGGAUGAAGGGAGCUUGCUCCUGGAUUCAGCGGCGGACGGGUGAGUAAUGCCUAGGAAUCUGCCUGGUAGUGGGGGAUAACGUCCGGAAACGGGCGCUAAUACCGCAUACGUCCUGAGGGAGAAAGUGGGGGAUCUUCGGACCUCACGCUAUCAGAUGAGCCUAGGUCGGAUUAGCUAGUUGGUGGGGUAAAGGCCUACCAAGGCGUCGAUCCGUAACUGGUCUGAGAGGAUGAUCAGUCACACUGGAACUGAGACACGGUCCAGACUCCUACGGGAGGCAGCAGCGGGGAAUAUUGGACAAUGGGCGAAAGCCUGAUCCAGCCAUGCCGCGUGUGUGAAGAAGGUCUUCGGAUUGUAAAGCACUUUAAGUUGGGAGGAAGGGCAGUAAGUUAAUACCUUGCUGUUUUGACGUUACCAACAGAAUAAGCACCGGCUAACUUCGUG